ensembl:snoRNA small nucleolar RNA, H/ACA box 31
CUGCAUCCACUGAUAGACCUUGAACAGUUGGCUGUUGUUCUUUUGGUUUGCACUAGGAUGCGAGAGAAAAAAAAUCCCUGCGCUUUCUGUCUGUCUCUGUGGCAGCCCAGAUUGAAGAGGGGAAUACAUCU